rnacentral:rRNA from 1 species
GACGAACGCUGGCGGCGUGCUUAACACAUGCAAGUCGAACGGAAAGGCCCUGCUUUUGUGGGGUGCUCGAGUGGCGAACGGGUGAGUAACACGUGAGUAACCUGCCCUUGACUUUGGGAUAACUUCAGGAAACUGGGGCUAAUACCGGAUAGGAGCUCCUGCUGCAUGGUGGGGGUUGGAAAGUUUCGGCGGUUGGGGAUGGACUCGCGGCUUAUCAGCUUGUUGGUGGGGUAGUGGCUUACCAAGGCUUUGACGGGUAGCCGGCCUGUGAGGGUGACCGGCCACAUUGGGACAGAGAUACGGCCCAGACUCCUACGGGAGGCAGGAGUGGGGAAUAAUGGAAAAAGGGCGGAAGCCUGAUGCAGGAACGCCGAGUGCGGGAUGACGGCCUUCGGGUUGUAAACCGCUUUCGCCUGUGACGAAGCGUGAGUGAAGGUAAUGGGUAAAGAAGCACCGGCUAACUACGUG